GCGGAGAUGGCGGAAUGGCAGACGCGCUAGAUUCAGGUUCUAGUGGUGGCAACACUGUGAGGGUUCAAGUCCCUUUCUCCGCACUA
rnacentral:tRNA from 2 species